UACGUAGGCAGCAAGCGUUGUUCGGAGUUACUGGGCGUAAAGGGUGUGUAGGCGGUUAUUUAAGGUUGGUGUGAAAUCUCCCGGCUCAACUGGGAGGGUGCGCCGAAUACUGAAUAACUUCGAGUGCGGGAGAGGAAAGUGGAAUUCCUGGUGUAGCGGUGAAAUGCGUAGAUAUCAGGAGGAACACCGGUGGUGUAGACGGCUUUCUGGACCGUAACUGACGCUGAGACACGAAAGCGUGGGUAGCAAACAGG
rnacentral:rRNA from 1 species